AGAGUUUGAUCAUGGCUCAGGAUGAACGCUGGCGGCGUGCUUAACACAUGCAAGUCGAAUGUAGUUUACUACAUGGCGGACGGGUGAGUAACGCGUGAGCAAUCUGCCCAUAUCUGGGGGAUAACCGUUGGAAACGACGGAUAAUACCGCAUAACAUCAUAGGAAGGCAUCUUCUCUUGAUCAAAGAUUUAUCGGAUAUGGAUGAGCUCGCGUCUGAUUAGCUUGUUGGCGGGGUAACGGCCCACCAAGGCGACGAUCAGUAGCCGACCUGAGAGGGUGAUCGGCCACAUUGGAACUGAGACACGGUCCAAACUCCUACGGGAGGCAGCAGUGGGGAAUAUUGGGCAAUGGAGGAAACUCUGACCCAGCAACGCCGCGUGAACGAUGAAGGUCUUCGGAUUGUAAAGUUCUUUUCUAAGGGAAGAAGAAAGUGACGGUACCUUAGGAAUAAGCCUCGGCUAACUACGUGCCAGCAGCCGCGGUAAUACGUAGGAGGCAAGCGUUAUCCGGAAUGACUGGGCGUAAAGGGUGCGUAGGUGGUUUGACAAGUUGGUAGCGUAAUUCCGGGGCUCAACCUCGGCGCUACUACCAAAACUGUCGGACUUGAGUGCAGGAGGGGCAACCGGAAUUCCUAGUGUAGCGGUGGAAUGCGUAGAUAUUAGGAGGAACACCAGAAGCGAAGGCGGGUUGCUGGAAUGUAACUGACACUGAGGCACGAAAGCGUGGGGGAGCAAACAGGAUUAGAUACCCUGGUAGUCCACGCUGUAAACGAUGAAUACUAGUGUAGGGGGUAUCGACUC
rnacentral:rRNA from 1 species